AGAGUUUGAUCCUGGCUCAGGAUGAACGCUGGCGGCGUGCUUAACACAUGCAAGUCGAACGGUAACAGAAAGAGCUUGCUCUUUGCUGACGAGUGGCGCACGGGUGAGUAAUAUAUAGGUAAUGUGCCCCUAAGACCGGGAUAGCCAUUGGAAACGAUGAUUAAUACCGGAUACACCUUUUUAACAUAAGUUGAUUUGGGAAAUGUUUUUUCGCUUAGGGAUCGGCCUAUAUCGCAUCAGUUAGUUGGUGGGGUAACGGCUCACCAAGACAAUGACGCGUAGCGGGUUUGAGAGGAUGAUCCGCCACACUGGUACUGAGACACGGACCAGACUCCUACGGGAGGCAGCAGUGAGGAAUAUUGCACAAUGGGGGGAACCCUGAUGCAGCAGCGCCGCGUGGAGGAUGACGCAUUUCGGUGUGUAAACUCCUUUUAUAUGCCAAGAAAAUGGCGGUAGCAUAUGAAUAAGCACCGGCUAACUCCGUGCCAGCAGCCGCGGUAAUACGGAGGGUGCAAGCGUUAUUCGGAAUCACUGGGCGUAAAGGACGCGUAGGCUGGUUGCCAAGUCUGAUGUGAAAUCCUAUGGCUUAACCAUAGAACUGCAUUGGAAACUGGUAACCUAGAGUAUGGAAGGGGCAGAUGGAAUUAGUGGUGUAGGGGUAAAAUCCGUAGAUAUCACUAGGAAUACCUAAAGCGAAGGCGAUCUGCUGGGACAUUACUGACGCUAAGGCGUGAAAGCGUGGGGAGCAAACAGGAUUAGAUACCCUGGUAGUCCACGCCCUAAACGAUGAACACUAGUCGUCGGAGUACUAGUUACUUCGGUGAUGCACUUAACAGAUUAAGUGUUCCGCCUGGGGAGUACGGUCGCAAGAUUAAAACUCAAAGGAAUAGACGGGGACCCGCACAAGUGGUGGAGCAUGUGGUUUAAUUCGAAGAUACGCGAAGAACCUUACCUGGCCUUGACAUUGAUAGAACCUGCUAGAGAUAGCGGGGUGCCCUUCGGGGAGCUUGAAAACAGGUGCUGCACGGCUGUCGUCAGCUCGUGUCGUGA
rnacentral:rRNA from 1 species